AGGUGAACCUGCGGAAGGAUCAUUACCGAGUGUAGGGUUCCUAGCGAGCCCAACCUCCCACCCGUGUUUACUGUACCUUAGUUGCUUCGGCGGGCCCGCCAUUCAUGGCCGCCGGGGGCUCUCAGCCCCGGGCCCGCGCCCGCCGGAGACACCACGAACUCUGUCUGAUCUAGUGAAGUCUGAGUUGAUUGUAUCGCAAUCAGUUAAAACUUUCAACAAUGGAUCUCUUGGUUCCGGCAUCGAUGAAGAACGCAGCGAAAUGCGAUAACUAGUGUGAAUUGCAGAAUUCCGUGAAUCAUCGAGUCUUUGAACGCACAUUGCGCCCCCUGGUAUUCCGGGGGGCAUGCCUGUCCGAGCGUCAUUGCUGCCCAUCAAGCACGGCUUGUGUGUUGGGUCGUCGUCCCCUCUCCGGGGGGGACGGGCCCCAAAGGCAGCGGCGGCACCGCGUCCGAUCCUCGAGCGUAUGGGGCUUUGUCACCCGCUCUGUAGGCCCGGCCGGCGCUUGCCGAACGCAAAUCAAUCUUUUUCCAGGUUGACCUCGGAUCAGGUAGGGAUACCCGCUGAACUUAAGCAUAUCAAUAAGCGGAGGAA
rnacentral:rRNA from 1 species